AACUGAACUUGUGCACAGCAUUGAUCGUCAUCGGUAUGUCAGUAAGUGGAUCACUACUCAGGUCAUGAUUUCAGCCAUUUAAGCUUCUGCUUGUAGAGUUGUUGGAAGAAGAAAACGCAUGCACUACGGAGUGUCAAGUUUGGAUAGUUGUUUCGCAUAAGGGGCGGACAGCAAGUUACGGACAUAACGGUGCGGCACUGCAAGUCUACCCAUAGACUGAAUAAUUUGCUUCCAGAAGAGAAGAGCAGCGAGUAGCCUCCAUUGUUUAUUUUUCUCCUCCAUUGUUUAUUUUUCUUCGAAACAUUGGCAGAAGCAUUGCCUUGCAUUUAAGAGGAGACUAGUCUGGUCUGAAAAUUACAUAGCUAU